GAUGAACGCUGGCGGCGUGCCUAAUACAUGCAAGUCGAGCGAACAGAUGAGGAGCUUUCUCCUCUGACGUUAGCGGCGGACGGGUGAGUAACACGUGGAUAACCUACCUAUAAGACUGGGAUAACUUCGUGAAACCGGAGCUAAUACCGGAUAAUAUAUUGAACCGCAUGUUUCAGUAGUGAAAUACGGUUUUUCUGUCACUUAUAGAUUGAUCCGAGCCGCAUUAGCUAGUUGGUAAGGUAACGGCUUACCAAGGCAACGAUGCGUAGCCGACCUGCGAGGGUGAUCGGCCACCCUGGAACUGAGACACGGUCCAGACUCCUACGGGAGGCAGCAGUAGGGAAUCUUCCGCAAUGGGCGAAAGCCUGACGGAGCAACGCCGCGUGAGUGAUGAAGGUCUUCGGAUCGUACAACUCUGUUAUUAGGGAAGAACAAAUGUGUAAGUAACUAUGCACGUCUUGACGGUACCUAAUCAGAAAGCCACGGCUAACUACGUG
rnacentral:rRNA from 1 species